UGGGGAUAAGGCAGCCUCCCCGCUUCAAGACGUUAUAUCGUCCAAGGUCUGC
rnacentral:ncRNA from 1 species